CAUUGGCUAAAAUUCGACAACAGUGUCCUAGACUCAGCAUACGAUUGGCUGGCUCUCAGAUUAAACAGUGAACAACACAGCGACUCGUCUGUGAGAACGACAGAACGAACGAGAGAGAAGUGAAACGUGGAAUCAGCGUGCGGUUCACGUGCGAACAGAUGGCUCACUGGAGAACACUUCUGGAGGGACCCUGCUGAGGCAGCUUUUCAAAGGCACUGCAUCCAUAACCACACAACACCUGCACCCCAUAUAACCACCAGAUGGGAACCGGGGCUGAAAACACUUCAAACGCACUCCUACCAACAACAGGAUGUGUUUGUGACCUGAGGAGCAGCCACCCAGACAGGAAGUAAACUGGAGCGAAUCAACCAACUGCAACGCUGCUCUGCUCUCUCAGUCUCCUCUCUUCGAACAUGAUGGUCUUUACUAAACAAAGUGUACAUGCCAUUAAAGGUACACUAUGUA